CGGUGGCAAGCCAACUGGGAGGUUCUCCAAUGGCAGAGUGCCUACAGAUUUCAUCUCCCAGGCUCUUGGACUCAAACCAUUCGUACCUGCCUACUUGGAUCCUUCCUAUAACAUAUCAGAUUUUGCCACUGGUGUCACCUUUGCUUCUGCGGGGACUGGCUAUGAUACUGCAACUUCAGAUGUGCUGGUAAGUACCAAAUAUUUAGUAUAAAGCGCUUCUCUAUCUCACACACAUCUCAAAUAUGGGUUACGUCAGUUAGCCAAUUAGUCAGGGCAGUGAGUCCACUUUCUUACACCCAAGUUCAAAUUCCCUUUCCUGUAAAUUAGAUUAAUUUAAAGUAGAUUACCGCUUGUAAAAAAAAAAAAAACCAAAUGGUCUACCAAUUUACAGUAUUUGUUACAUUCUCGAUAUUUUCACAAUAUUUUAUGGAUACUCUGCAAACAGUUGGUCAAUACUUAGUAAUUAAUAUCACCUAAAUAUCCACAAUGGUGUACUGUAGAUUGAUACUCGAUACUAGCCAAGCCAAGUGUCUGUUCAAUUUUUCAUAUUUUUAGAAAAUCCCGGUUCAUCAUUUGCAGUCUGUGAUACCACUAUGGAAGCAACUGGAGUACUACAAGGAAUAUCAGAACAAACUAAGACUUUAUCUUGGAGGAAUAAAGGCAAACGAAAUAAUCAACGGAGCUUUGCACGUUACGAGCAUGGGCACCAAUGACUUCCUGGAAAACUACUACACAUACCCCGGCCGGUCAUCCCAAUACUCUAUCCAACAAUACCAAGAUUUUCUCAUUGGAAUUGCAGGAAAUUUCAUCAAGCAACUCUACCAUCUCGG
rnacentral:lncRNA from 1 species